GGGUGGUGGUGCAUGGCCGUUCUUAGUUGGUGGAGUGAUUUGUCUGGUUAAUUCCGUUAACGAACGAGACCCCCGCCUGCUAAAUAGCACGAGGAAUGCUUCGCAUUGCUUGAUUGCUUCUUAGAGGGACUUUGUGUGACUAACACAAGGAAGUUGGGGGCAAUAACAGGUCUGUGAUGCCCUUAGAUGUCCUGGGCCGCACGCGCGCUACACUGAUGCAUGCAACGAGUUUAUAACCUUGGCCGGGAGGCCUGGGUAAUCUGUGAACGUGCAUCGUGAUAGGGAUAGAUUAUUGCAAUUAUUAAUCUUGAACGAGGAAUUCCUAGUAAACGCAAGUCAUCAGCUUGCAUUGAUUACGUCCCUGCCCUUUGUACACACCGCCCGUCGCACCUACCGAUCGAAGGUCAUGAUGAGCCCUCAGGAUAGGGAGUUGUUCCCUCACGGGAGCUUUUUUCUAGAAUUUGUGCAAAUCCUGCCUUAGAGGAAGUAAGCGACAGUAA
rnacentral:rRNA from 1 species